rnacentral:sRNA from 1 species
UUGUCAGCUCCAGAGAAUGAAGUCCUCUGUUUAGUUAGAGAACAGGUACAGUAUAGGCAGGAAAAAUGCAAAGUUUCUGCAAGGUCCACCUCUAGCAAUGAAGCAAAAGUUCAGUCUCCCUGGCUAUGCAAUAUAUUGUCCCC